GCGUGAAUACCGCCCAUCUUGUAUACCCACUCGGCAGUGGGUGGACACUGCUUGCUUCCACCCGUUGACGACUGUGGAAAACGCGGCCAUCAACAGUGUGCGUGCACAUCUUGGAAUCCUGGCUUUCAAUGGAAGCACGGACACCUAACUAAGGAAGGAAGAAAUGGUCAAGUGCUGCAGGAAGGUGUCCACUUCAGUCAGAGUGGCCUUACUCAUCACUGAUCCGAGACUUUGAGAAGUUUCCCACCGGAGAGAUGGGAUAUCAAAGUGUGGAUUGGCCUGCUCCUGAACAGUGAGAGAUGGGAGUUUACCCUAAGCCUACCAACCAUACAAACUGGAGGACGGACCAGCAGCGUGCUGGCUGACCUGUCACGGUGCUCAUAGCACGGGGA